UACGUAGGGUGCGAGCGUUAAUCGGAAUUACUGGGCGUAAAGCGUGCGCAGGCGGUUAUGUAAGACAGAUGUGAAAUCCCCGGGCUCAACCUGGGAACUGCAUUUGAGACUGUAUGGCUAGAGUGUGUCAGAGGGGGGUAGAAUUCCACGUGUAGCAGUGAAAUGCGUAGAUAUGUGGAGGAAUACCGAUGGCGAAGGCAGCCCCCUGGGAUAACACUGACGCUCACGCACGAAAGCGUGGGGAGCAAACAGGAUUAGAAACCCCAGUAGUCC
rnacentral:rRNA from 1 species